AAUACUGAAUUGGGGAUUUUUUUGGAUUUUGGGAGAAAAGGGGUUUCUGGGUUUGAUGGAUUGAGGGAAGAUGGAGAAGAAAUGGGAAUGAAAGAGACGGCAUUUUGAUGCUAUUUGCAUUUUCUUGAUGAUUUUUGAGCUUCACUUCAAUGGCUGCUCUGGUUCGAGACUACUUUUAUCACUCCCUAGAUAUAUUUUUUGCUCAAUUCUAAAAUUAUACUUUGAUU
rnacentral:misc_RNA from 1 species